GUAAAAGCGGGACAGCCCUCACCAGCUUCACCCCAGUGCAGGGCUCGGGCAGAGGAGGCACAGGGGAAGGGCCAGGCCAACACAAGGCAGGCACGGCAGGGCUGCUGCAAGCACUUCGCAGCACAGCCAGGAGAACGUGCAGUGCCAUUUGCACAACCUGCCUAAGUGCCACUGCCUAGGGAACUCGAGUGCCUUUCUGCUGACUGCCUGAAAUGUUCAGGGGAGGAAAGCAACAGCUUGAGGAAGAAAGCAACCAAGACUUGGGAUGUGCAAGAGGUUCCUGAACUCCUGUUCAGAAGUCACCCCUUACCUCCAGCUUAAAGAACUGGAACUGCCCAACUACUGGAAGGUGAAUCUGAGCUGGGAUUUUCCUUCAGAUGAACACACCAUCAGUGUCCAAUGAGUUACCGAUAUUUCUCCAAGAGAAUGUUGCUUUGUGAAUGAAGAUCAAAAAAGGAACUGUGAAUUUAUGGAAAUGAAAAACUUUUGGAAGGUUUUACAUGUGCCUGGAAAAUAUCACCCUACGCUGACUGAAUUACACGCUGGUAAUGAGCCAUCAGUUCAGUACAUAAAGCACAUGGAGGGAGACUGCUGAGGCACAGAUAACUACAGGGAACAAGCAGAGCCACUGGUAGUUUGUCCUUCAUGCAGAAUGCAUGUUCAGCUAUGCCCUUUCAAGCUAGUUGCUUCUCUGUAUGCAGGAGAUUCAACAUUUCGUGCUUCCAAUUACAGAGCAGUCAGUUACUCUGAAUAGCUACUAUUUUCUGUCUACUGUAUUAGUACAGUAUUUUAUCUUCACAAUUUAAUGGAAUUAAAACAAAAAACAUCAACUGCAUUUUUGCAACAAGCCUCCAGAGCUGGAAGAAAAUAAACUGCUUUAAGGUAUUCUGACUCUCCUUUAUAGAGGUGUAUGGAAAAUAAGAUUAUAUAGUUGGUAUGCCAGUGCGGAACUAUGAGUUCCUGUGCCAAGUUCCUUCUUAGAGCGCUCCUCACAUGUGCACACAUAUAAAUUUGUUUCUCCCAUAUUCCCAAGCAAAUACUAAAUAGCAUCUCUUCUGCUUUCCUGCUCCACAGAUCAGACAGAGCUGAUUUGCAACCAAACAGCCUCUGGCAUUUGGGUUCACAGAACUGGAAGCCAGUUACAAUGCUUCACGUUAGAGCAUUACAUAUAGCAGGGCUCCCCAAAGAAGUACAGAACCCCAGCAGCUGGAGGGAAGGUAAUCACAGGCCAAAACAAAACAAAACAAAACAAAAACACCUCAAAACACCCAAGUAACAAGGUCUGUCAAGGCCACUAAGCUCAUACAGGAAGAAAAUGCUACGUCCUGUCACAAGAGAAGAGACUGUCCUGAAAAGAAAAAAAAGAAGAAAAAAGAGUCUAAUGA